GCAGUGGGGAAUAUUGGGCAAUGGGCGAGAGCCUGAACCAGCCAAGUCGCGUGAGGGACGACGGUACUAAGUAUUGUAAACCUCUUUUGUCAGGGAACAAAGAGACCACGUGUGGUAAGAUGAGUGUACCUGAAGAAAAAGCAUCGGCUAACUCCGUGCCAGCAGCCGCGGUAAUACGUAGGGAGCAAGCGUUAUCCGGAUUUAUUGGGUGUAAAGGGUGCGUAGACGGGAAAUUAAGUUAGUUGUGAAAUCCCUCGGCUCAACUGAGGAACUGCAACUAAAACUGAUUUUCUUGAGUGCAGGAGAGGAAAGUGGAAUUCCUAGUGUAGCGGUGAAAUGCGUAGAUAUUAGGAGGAACACCAGUGGCGAAGGCGACUUUCUGGACAGUAACUGACGUUGAGGCACGAAAGUGUGGGGAGCAAACAGGAUUAGAUACCCCGGUAG
rnacentral:rRNA from 1 species